UUUUACGCUCCACCCGUUGUGGUGCUCCCCCGCCAAUUCCUUUAAGUUUCAGCCUUGCGGCCGUACUUCCCAGGUGGCUCGCUUCACGGCUUCCCUACGGCACCGACAACGGUCGCACCGUGGCCGACACCUAGCGAGUAUCGUUUACGGCUAGGACUACCCGGGUAUCUAAUCCGGUUCGUGCCCCUAGCUUUCGUCCCUUGCCGUCAGGUCCGUUCUGGUGAGACGCCUUCGCCACUGGUGGUCCUUCAAGGAUUACAAGAUUUCACCCCUACCCCUGAAGUACCUCUCACCUCUCCCGGCCUCGAGCCGAACAGUAUCUCCUGAAAGCCCAACAGUUGAGCUGCUGGAUUUCUCAAGAGACUUAUCCGGCCGGCUACAGACCCUUUAGACCCAAUAAUAACGGUUACCACUCGAGCCGCCGGUGUUACCGCGGCGGCUGGCACCGGUCUUGCCCGGCCCUUGCUAUGCAAUGCUUUUUAGGCAUCACGACAGCCAGAUUUGUAACCUGGCACUCGAGGUCCCCUUAUCGCCGUUGCCGGCAUUGUAAAGUUUUCGCGCCUGCUGCACCCCGUAGGGCCUGGAUUCGUGUCUCAGAAUCCAUCUCCGGGCUCUUGCUCUCACAACCCGUACCCGUCGUAGGCUAGUAGGUACGCUACACCCACUACUACCUGAUAGGCCGCAGACCCAUCCUCUGGCGCCGGAGCUUUCGAUCUCGGGGCAUUCCAGCGACCGAGAUCUAUCGGGGAUUAUACCCAGUUUCCCGGGUUUAUACCCGUCCGGAGGGUAGGUUGUCCACGUGUUACUGAGCAGUACGCCAUGUAUUGCUACAUUCGACUC
rnacentral:rRNA from 1 species